rfam:Ovis aries breed Texel chromosome 5, whole genome shotgun sequence.
UCCCUGGUGGUCCAGUGGUUAGGACUCUGUGUUUCUACUGCAGCAGGCAUAGGUUUGAACCCUGGUUAAGGAA